rnacentral:rRNA from 1 species
CCUACGGGAGGCAGCAGUGGGGAAUAUUGGACAAUGGGCGAAAGCCUGAUCCAGCAAUGCCGCGUGAGUGAUGAAGGCCUUCGGGUCGUAAAGCUCUUUUACCAGGGAUGAUAAUGACAGUACCUGGAGAAUAAGCUCCGGCUAACUCCGUGCCAGCAGCCGCGGUAAUACGGAGGGAGCUAGCGUUGUUCGGAAUUACUGGGCGUAAAGAGUACGUAGGCGGUUAUUCAAGUCAGAGGUGAAAGCCCGGGGCUCAACCCCGGAACUGCCUUUGAAACUAGAUAACUAGAGUCUUGGAGAGGUUAGUGGAAUUCCGAGUGUAGAGGUGAAAUUCGUAGAUAUUCGGAAGAACACCAGUGGCGAAGGCGACUAACUGGACAAGUACUGACGCUGAGGUACGAAAGCGUGGGGAGCAAACAGGAUUAGAUACCCUGGUAGUCCACGCCGUAAACGAUGAUAACUAGUUGUUCGGUCACUUGGUGACUGAGUGACGCAGCUAACGCAUUAAGUUAUCCGCCUGGGGAUACGGUCGCAAGAUUAAAACUCAAAGGAAUUGACGG